CUGAAUCCAUAGGUUAAUGAGGCGAACCGGGGGAACUGAAACAUCUAAGUACCCCGAGGAAAAGAAAUCAACCGAGAUUCCCCCAGUAGCGGCGAGCGAACGGGGAGGAGCCCAGAGCCUGAAUCAGCAUGUGUGUUAGUGGAAGCGUCUGGAAAGGCGCGCGAUACAGGGUGACAGCCCCGUACACAAAAGCGCAUGUGUUGUGAGCUCGAUGAGUAGGGCGGGACACGUGGUAUCCUGUCUGAAUAUGGGGGGACCAUCCUCCAAGGCUAAAUACUCCUGACUGACCGAUAGUGAACCAGUACCGUGAGGGAAAGGCGAAAAGAACCCCGGCGAGGGGAGUGAAAAAGAACCUGAAACCGUGUACGUACAAGCAGUGGGAGCACCCUUUGGGGUGUGACUGCGUACCUUUUGUAUAAUGGGUCAGCGACUUAUAUUCUGUAGCAAGGUUAACCGAAUAGGGGAGCCGGAGGGAAACCGAGUCUUAAUUGGGCGUUAAGUUGCAGGGUAUAGACCCGAAACCCGGUGAUCUAGCCAUGGGCAGGUUGAAGGUUGGGUAACACUAACUGGAGGACCGAACCGACUAAUGUUGAAAAAUUAGCGGAUGACCUGUGGCUGGGGGUGAAAGGCCAAUCAAACCGGGAGAUAGCUGGUUCUCCCCGAAAGCUAUUUAGGUAGCGCCUCGUGAAUUCAUCUCCGGGGGUAGAGCACUGUUUCGGCUAGGGGGCCAUCCCGGCUUACCAACCCGAUGCAAACUGCGAAUACCGGAGAAUGUUAUCACGGGAGACACACGGCGGGUGCUAACGUCCGUCGUGAAGAGGGAAACAACCCAGACCGCCAGCUAAGGUCCCAAAGUCAUGGUUAAGUGGGAAACGAUGUGGGAAGGCCCAGACAGCCAGGAUGUUGGCUUAGAAGCAGCCAUCAUUUAAAGAAAGCGUAAUAGCUCACUGGUCGAGUCGGCCUGCGCGGAAGAUGUAACGGGGCUAAAC
rnacentral:rRNA from 1 species